AACGAACGCUGGCGGCAGGCCUAACACAUGCAAGUCGAGCGAGGACUUCGGUUCUAUCUGCGGACGUGUGAUUAACGCGUGGGAAUUUGCCCUUCUCUACGCAAUCGCCCAGGUAGACUGGGAUUCAUACCGUUUACGCUCUUUUCGGGUAAGAUCUAUCGGGGAAGGAUCAGCCCGCGUUGGAUUGGGUGGUUGGUGGUGUACUGGCAUACCAAGCCGUCGAUGCUUAGCUGGUUUGUGAGGAUGAUAAGCCACACUGGGAAUGAGGCACGGACCAGACUGCUACGGGAGGGUGCAGUAGGGAAUACUAGAGAAGGGGGGCAACCCUAGUAUAGCCGUGCCGCGUGAGUGAUGAAGGGCUUAGGAAUGUAAAGCUCUUUCAGCUGGGAAGAUAAUGACGGUAACAGCAGAAGAAGCCCCGGCUAACUACGUG
rnacentral:rRNA from 1 species